rnacentral:rRNA from 1 species
CCUGGUUGAUUCUGCCAUUAGUCAUAUGCUUGUCUCAAAGAUUAAGCCAUGCAUGUCUAAGUAUAAACACGUUAUACUGUGAAACUGCGAAUGGCUCAUUAAAUCAGUUAUAGUUUAUUUGAUGGUUUUUGCUACAUGGAUAACUGUGGUAAUUCUAGAGCUAAUACAUGCGUACAAGCCCCGACUUCUGGAAGGGGUGUAUUUAUUAGAUAAAAAUCAACACUGUUGGUGAAUCAUGAUAACUUCUCGGAUCGCAUGGCCUCGUGCUGGCGAUACUUCAUUCAAAUAUCUGCCCUAUCAACUGUCGAUGGUAGGAUAGAGGCCUACCAUGGUUGCAACGGGUAACGGGGAAUAAGGGUUCGAUUCCGGAGAGGGAGCCUGAGAAACGGCUACCACAUCCAAGGAAGGCAGCAGGCGCGCAAAUUACCCAAUCCCGACACGGGGAGGUAGUGACAAUAUGUAACAAUAUACGGCUUUAUCGUCGUAUAAUUGGAAUGAGUACAAUUUAAAUCCCUUAACGAGGAACAAUUGGAGGGCAAGUCUGGUGCCAGCAGCCGCGGUAAUUCCAGCUCCAAUAGCGUAUAUUAAAGUUGUUGCAGUUAAAAAGCUCGUAGUUGGACCUUGGGCCUGGACGGGCGGUCCGCCUCACGGCGUGUACUGUCUUGCCGGGCCUUUCCUCUUGGUGAUCUGUUGUUUCGGCAGCAGGGAACCAGGACCUUUACUUUGAAAAAAUUAGAGUGUUCAAAGCAGGCUCGACGCCGGAAUAUAUUAGCAUGGAAUAAUAAAAUAGGACGUGCGGUUCUAUUUUGUUGGUUUUUGGAAUCGCCGUAAUGAUUAAUAGGGACAGUCGGGGGCAUUAGUACUCACAUGCUAGAAGUGAAAUUCUUGGAUUUUGUGAAGACUAACUUCUGCGAAAGCAUUUGCCAAGGAUGUUU